UCAUUGCAUUUCAUUUUACUCCGUUUAUUUUUAGUUGUAUGCAAAUAUUUUAACUAGAAGGCUAGUCAUAGAGGAAGUUCGCGAUGAUGGAGAAACGGAUGACAACAUCGUGUUCGUAUGGGGAACAGCUUCCCAUUAAUUAUACUGAGAGCUUACAGACAAAAGCGUCCUUCCUGCCCUCAGAGACUGACAUCCCCAUCAUCAGGUCCCUGAAAAUUGCGGCGUCCGUCUGAGCUUUCAUCCGUCUGGAAAACCCAUCAAAUCCCAUCAGCAGACAGGAAGCCCGUCUUCAUAGUUAUACACUAUUUCCCACGCAUUUUUUUCUAAGAGGACUCCUCUGUGUGAAGAUAAAAUAAAGGUUUAAAAACAG